AUUGAACGCUGGCGGCAGGCCUAACACAUGCAAGUCGAGCGAGCGGCGGACGGGUGAGUAAUGUCUGGGAAACUGCCCGAUGGAGGGGGAUAACUACUGGAAACGGUAGCUAAUACCGCAUACUCUCAGAUGAGCCCAGAUGGGAUUAGCUAGUAGGUUGGGUAAUGGCUCACCUAGGCGACGAUCCCUAGCUGGUCUGCGAGGAUGACCAGGCACCCUGGGACUUAGACACGGUCCAGACUCCUACGGGAGGCAGCAGUGGGGAAUAUUGCACAAUGGGCGCAAGCCUGAUGCAGCCAUGCCGCGUGUAUGAAGAAGGCCUUCGGGUUGUAAAGUACUUUCAGCGAGGAGGCGUUACCGACAGAAGAAGCACCGGCUAACUCCGUGCCAGCAGCCGCGGUAAUUC
rnacentral:rRNA from 1 species